GGGCGAUUAGCGCAGUUGGUAGCGCAGUACUAUCACACAGUAAAGGUCGGGGGUUCGAAUCCCUCAUCGCCCA
rnacentral:tRNA from 1 species